GAAAAACCGAAAAGUAAAAAUCAGAUAAAACUGAGAUAAUCAGCGAGUGAGCAAGGCAACGAGCGAGGCGAAGCCGAAAAACCCAAUCAACCAAAUAAGCUGAGGGCAAAAGUGCUCCGAGAACGAACUUAAACUUGCAUCUAAAGUAACGAUUUUAGUCGACUCACUUUGGGUUAUCAGAUUAUUGAAUCACCGCUAAAUUAUAGAGGUGCGCAACUUCAAGUAAUGUGGUCUAGACUUGAAAAACCUUAAAAUGU